ensembl:lincRNA
UUGGGGCGGACCUCCCCUGGAGCGCACCUCCCCCUGGAGCGCGCGGGCGCGCAGGGUGCACACAGCCCUCCUGGACCCCGGGACCGGCUCAGGCUCAGGCUCGGCGUCAGCAAAGGGACCUGCGCGGCGCCCUGGGGCGGAGGAGGCCCGAAGGGCGGCCGCGGCGGAUGAGAAGCCGUGCACGACGAGCACAAUCUCCAUGGGGAGGAGAACAGGAAUGUUCCUGUGAGCCCCGCCGCGCCCUACCGCCAGCGCAGCCCAGCAUCGCGGGUCCCCUCCUAUCCCACCGGAGAACGGGGUCCUCACUCCCAGCUUCAGCCGAGCCCUGGCCCCGCAACUGCCUGAAGGCACGCCCCCUGCACCUGCCCACCUCAGGUCCCGCCUCCAGCCCAGUGGCCAAGAUCACGGGUCUCUACAAUGACUCGGAGCCACCCCGGAAGACCAUGCGCAGAGGGGUGCUGAUGACCCUGCUGCAGCAGUCGGCCAUGACCCUGCCCCUGUGGAUCGGGAAGCCUGGUGACAAGCCCCCACCCCUCUGUGGGGCCAUCCCUGCCUCAGGAGACUAUGUGGCCAGACCUGGAGACAAGCCCCAGGAGGACUACUCUAUCCUGUUUGAAGACACCUCCUAUGCAGACGGCUACUCCCCUCAUCUCAGUGUGGCCCAGAGGUACCUGGUAGCUUCUAAGGAGCCCAAGAAAAAGUGACACUGCCCGGCGGACUCGACGUCCUCCACCAUCUUGGGGCAGGACAGCAGAGGAUGUGCUGGGAUUAAACAGACAUCCCCCCUCCACACAUCUCCUGGGUUUUACUUCUCCAAACCCUUCUCCCCUCCCCAGAUAUGGUGACCUGGGGAGCUGAAGGCUGGGGGAGAGGUGACCAUAUGUGGCCCCACUGGGCAUUCACUCUUUCAGCUCAGAGUUUCUCUUCCUUUCCAAUACAGGCUCUACAUGAACACAAAUCAUAUUUUAUUUUAAUUGAGCUUUAUUUUCUUUGGAGGGAGGGUCUUGCUUGUCAUCCAGGCUGUAGUGAAUGGGCAUGUCAUAACUCACUGUAUCCACAACCUCCUGGGCUGAAAUGAUCCUCCAGCCUCUGCUUCCCAAGUAGCUGGGACUACAGGUAAGUGCCAGCACAUGUGGCUAAUUUUUUUACAUCUUUGUAGAGAUGAGGUCUCACUAUUUUACCAGGCUGGUCUCAAAUUCGUGGCCUAUUGUGAUCCUACCAGCUCAACCUCCCAAAUCGCUGGGAUUGCAGACAUGAGCCACUGUGCCUGACUCAAAAAUCAUACUUUAUUCUUGAGCCCAUUGGUCAGGGUAGAUUCGCACACUCCCUCUGCAGUGACUCCAGGAGCCCCUCUCACAGCUCAGAGCGGAAGCUGAGGCUGCAGCCUGCCAUCUUCUCCGCAUAGUCCGCAUCGAAGCGCUCAUUCUGCGCCACGGUGAAGGUGGUCUUCCAGUCCCCAGCCAUGCCUGGCGGAGGAAGGCAGGGAGCAAAGCUGGAGUCUCAUCCCAGGGGAGGCCCCGAGUGCCUAUGGGGAGGCUGCAGCUGCUGCUCCCACCCGCCCAAAACCCCGUGCUGGCCAGCACCCACCUUUCCUCAUGAAGGGGAGGUGCUGUGGUCCAUGAGCUCCUGGGGGACGGUGGUGUAGUUGGUCAUAGGGUU